rnacentral:rRNA from 1 species
UAUCCUACGGGGGGCAGCAGUGAGGAAUAUUGGUCAAUGGGCGGGAGCCUGAACCAGCCAAGUCGCGUGAGGGAAGACGGUCCUAUGGAUUGUAAACCUCUUUAGGCGGGGAGCAAUGCCGGGCACGCGUGCCCGGAGGGAGAGUACCCGCAGAAUAAGCAUCGGCUAACUCCGUGCCAGCAGCCGCGGUAAUACGGAGGAUGCGAGCGUUAUCCGGAUUUAUUGGGUUUAAAGGGUGCGUAGGCGGAUUUUAAGUCAGCGGUGAAAGUCUGUGGCUCAACCAUAGAAUUGCCGUUGAAACUGGG